GGCGAACGGGUGAGUAACACGUGGGUAACCUGCCCCCAUCUCUGGGAUAACCGUUGGAAACGGCGGCUAAUACCGGAUACGACUCGGCCCUGCAUGGGGUUGAGUGGAAAGUUUUUGCGGUUGGGGAGGGGCCCGCGGCCUAUCAGCUGGUUGGUGGGGUGAUGGCCUACCAAGGCGUUGACGGGUAGCCGGCCUGAGAGGGCGGUCGGUCACAUUGGGACUGAGAUACGGCCCAGACUCCUACGGGAGGCAGCAGUGGGGAAUUUUGCACAAUGGGCGGAAGCCUGAUGCAGCGACGCCGCGUGAGGGAUGACGGCUUUCGGGUUGUAAACCUCUUUUAUCCACCACGAAGGCUCCGUAUUCGCGGGGUUGACGGUAGUGGUUGAAUAAGCGCCGGCUAACUACGUGCCAGCAGCCGCGGUAAGACGUAGGGCGCGAGCGUUGUCCGGAUUUAUUGGGCGUAAAGGGCUCGUAGGCGGUUGAUUGCGUCCGCCGUGAAAGGCCUCGGCUUAACCGGGGUUUUGCGGUGGAUACGGGUUGACUUGAGGCAAUUAGGGGAGAUCGGAAUUCUACGUGUAGCGGUGAAAUGCGCAGAUAUGUGGAGGAACACCGGUGGCGAAGGCGGAUCUCUGGGAUUGUUC
rnacentral:rRNA from 1 species